UUGCGGAGGUAGAGCACUGAAUUUCCUAGGGGGCGUCAAAGCCUACCGAAGAAUAUCAAACUCCGAAUGCCGUGUAGAUAUCACCGGGAGUCAGACUGCACGAGAUAAGUUGGGCGGUCAAAAGGGAAAGAGCCCAGACCUACAGUUAAGGUCCCAAAGUGCGCGUUAAGUGGAAAAGGAUGUGGGAUUUCGAAGACAACCAGGAUGUUGGCUCAGAAGCAGCCAUACAUUCAAAGAGUGCGUAAUAGCUCACUGGUCGAGAGGUCCUGCGCCGAAAAUGUCCGGGGCUGAAACGCGCCACCGAAACUAAGGAAUCUGAAAAGAUUGGUAGAGGAGCAUUGCAUGCGGGAAGAAGCAGUACCGGAAGGAGCUGUGGACUGCAUGGAAGAGAGAAUGCCGGAAUGAGUAGCGAGAUAGAGGUGGGAAUCCUCUAGGCCGAAUAUCCAAGGUUUCCAGAGUAAAGCUGAUCUGCUCUGGGUAAGUCGGGGCCUAAGGCGAGGACGAGAGUCGUAGCCGAUGGACAACAGGUGGAGAUUCCUGUACUGCGGUAUGACAGAACUGUGGGGACACGUAAGGAAAGCGGAAGCCGGGAAUGGAAAGCCCGGUGCAAGCGGGGUACCAGUCACUUUGGCAAAUCCGGGUGGCAAUGGGAAGCCGUGAUGCGGAGCGAAAUAAAGUAGCGAAGUCCGUGAGCCAUGCGUCAAGAAAAGCCGCUAUUGUUUAUACCGUACCCGUACCGUAAACCGACACAGGUGGAUGAGGAGAGAAUCCUAAGGCCGGCGGAAGAAGCAUUGUCAAGGAACUCGGCAAAAUGACCCCGUAACUUCGGGAGAAGGGGUGCCUGCGAGAGCAGGCCGCAGAGAAUAGGCUCAAGCAACUGUUUAGCAAAAACACAGGUCUAUGCGAAACCGAAAGGUGAGGUAUAUGGGCUGACGCCUGCCCGGUGCUGGAAGGUUAAGAGGAGAGGUUAGCGCAAGCGAAGCUUUGAAUUUAAGCCCCAGUAAACGGCGGCCGUAACUAUAACGGUCCUAAGGUAGCGAAAUUCCUUGUCGGGUAAGUUCCGACCCGCACGAAAGGCGUAAUGAUUUGAGCGCUGUCUCGACAAUGCAUCCGGUGAAAUUGAAGUACCAGUGAAGAUGCUGGUUACCUGCGCCAGGACGGAAAGACCCCAUGGAGCUUUACUCCAGUCUGGUACUGGGACUCGGUAUUGCAUGUACAGGAUAGGUGGGAGGCUAGGAGAUGGUAACGCCAGUUGCCAUGGAGCCGCUGUUGGGAUACCACCCUUGCAGUAUUGGGUUUCUAACCAGCCGCCGUGACCCGGCGGUGGGACAAUGCCAGACGGGGAGUUUGACUGGGGCGGUCGCCUCCGAAAGGGUAUCGGAGGCGCCCAAAGGUUCCCUCAGAAUGGACGGAAACCAUUCGAAGAGUGCAAAGGCAGAAGGGAGCUUGACUGCGACACCGACGGGUGGAGCAGGUACGAAAGUAGGACUUAGUGAUCCGGUGGUAUAAAGUGGGAUUGCCAUCGCUCAACGGAUAAAAGCUACCCUGGGGAUAACAGGCUUAUCACUCCCAAGAGUUCACAUCGACGGAGUGGUUUGGCACCUCGAUGUCGGCUCAUCGCAUCCUGGGGCUGUAGUAGGUCCCAAGGGUUGGGCUGUUCGCCCAUUAAAGC
rnacentral:rRNA from 1 species